AGAGUUUGAUCAUGGCUCAGGACGAACGCUGGCGGCGCGCCUAACACAUGCAAGUCGAACGGGGCGUUAUCAGCUGAAGUUUUCGGAUGGAAGCAGGUAACGCUUAGUGGCGAACGGGUGAGUAACACGUGAGGAACCUGCCCCAGAAUGGGGGACAACAGUUGGAAACGACUGCUAAUACCGCAUAAGCCCACAGUACCGCAUGGUACAGGGGGAAAAGGAGCAAUCCGUUUUGGGAUGGACUCGCGUCCAAUUAGCUUGAUGGUGAGGUAACGGCCCACCAUGGCGACGAUUGGUAGCCGGACUGAGAGGUUGAACGGCCACAUUGGGACUGAGACACGGCCCAGACUCCUACGGGAGGCAGCAGUGGGGAAUAUUGCACAAUGGGGGAAACCCUGAUGCAGCGACGCCGCGUGGAGGAAGAAGGCCCUCGGGUUGUAAACUCCUGUCUUUGGGGACGAUAAUGACGGUACCCAAGGAGGAAGCCACGGCUAACUACGUGCCAGCAGCCGCGGUAAAACGUAGGUGGCAAGCGUUGUCCGGAAUUACUGGGUGUAAAGGGAGCGCAGGCGGAGCGGCAAGUUGGAGGUGAAAACCAUGGGCUCAACCCAUGAACUGCCUUCAAAACUGCCGGUCUUGAGUGGUGUAGAGGUAAGCGGAAUU
rnacentral:rRNA from 1 species